rnacentral:rRNA from 1 species
CAAUAGCGUAUAUUAAAGUUGUUGCAGUUAAAAAGCUCGUAGUUGGAUUUGUGGCUGUCACGGGCGGCCUAUCACCUAGUGUUAGUGCUUGCCUGUGUCGCCAUCCUUGGGUGGAGCCCGUGUGGCAUUAGGUUGUCGUGCGGGGGAUGCCCAUCGUUUACUGUGAGAAAAUUAGAGUGUUCAAAGCAGGCUUAUGCCAUUGAAUAUGUUAGCAUGGAAUAAUAAGAUAGGACCUCGGUACUAUUUUGUUGGUUUGCGCACCGAGGUAAUGAUUAAUAGGGACAGUUGGGGGUAUUCGUAUUUCACUGUCAGAGGUGAAAUUCUUGGAUUUCUGAAAGACGAACUACUGCGAAAGCAUUUACCAAGGAUGUUUUCAUUAA